rnacentral:hammerhead_ribozyme from 1 species
AUUUAGCUGACGAAAUCUCAAAUAGGAUGAAACGAUCGUCCUGGAU